rfam:Brachypodium distachyon strain Bd21 chromosome 2, whole genome shotgun sequence.
UUACUACUCCCUCCGUCCAACAAAGGAUGUCUCAACUUUAACUAAAUUUGAAUACAUCUAUACACUAAGUCAUGUCUAGAUACAUCCAAAUUUUAACAAACUUUAAGACAUCUUUUGUUGGAAGGAGGGAGUACUUA